ACUUCUGAAAUGUUGACCUCGGAUCAGGUAGGAACUAUUACCCGCUGAACUUAAGCAUAUCAAAAGCCGGGAGGA
rnacentral:rRNA from 1 species